rnacentral:lncRNA from 1 species
UAGGUUUGUCUCCUGGAGGGACCCUGAUAGAAACAGGUUCUUACUAUGACAGGCUCUGGCCAGUCCUGAUCACCUGGGAAAACAGCCUAGAAGGAACUCCACACCACACAGACUCAGUGCCUGACUCUGCAACAAGUCACAGAACACCAA